AUUGAACGCUGGCGGCAGGCCUAACACAUGCAAGUCGAGCGGAGGAAGGGAGCUUGCUCCUGGAUUCAGCGGCGGACGGGUGAGUAAUGCCUAGGAAUCUGCCUGGUAGUGGGGGAUAACGUCCGGAACCGGGCGCUAAUACCGCAUACGUCCUGAGGGAGAAAGUGGGGGAUCUUCGGACCUCACGCUAUCAGAUGAGCCUAGGUCGGAUUAGCUAGUUGGUGGGGUAAAGGCCUACCAAGGCGACGAUCCGUAACUGGUCUGAGAGGAUGAUCAGUCACACUGGAACUGAGACACGGUCCAGACUCCUACGGGAGGCAGCAGUGGGGAAUAUUGGACAAUGGGCGAAAGCCUGAUCCAGCCAUGCCGCGUGUGUGAAGAAGGUCUUCGGAUUGUAAAGCACUUUAAGUUGGGAGGAAGGGCAGUAAGUUAAUACCUUGCUAUUUUGACGUUACCAACAGAAUAAGCACCGGCUAACUUCGUG
rnacentral:rRNA from 1 species